rnacentral:rRNA from 1 species
UGUUCGCCCAUUAAAGCGGUACGCGAGCUGGGUUCAGAACGUCGUGAGACAGUUCGGUCCCUAUCCGGCGCGGGCGCAGGAUGUUUGAGGGGAGCCGCCCUUAGUACGAGAGGACCGGGGCGGACGGGCCGCUGGUGUACCUGUUGGGGACCAACCCCACGGCAGGGUAGCCAAGCCCGGAGCGGAUAAACGCUGAAGGCAUCUAAGCGUGAAGCCGUCCUCAAGAUGAGACAUCCGGAGCGUAAGCUGAAGGCCCCUUGGAGAGUACGAGGUGGAUAGGCCCGGGGUGGAAGCGCUGAGAGGCGUGGAGCUGACGGGUACUAAUAGGCCGGAAGCUUGACCAAAA